GAGCGUGUAGUUCAGUGGUAGAACGCUGUCCUGAUAAGACAGAGGUCGAUGGUUCGAUCCCAUCCACGCUCACCU
rnacentral:tRNA from 3 species